ensembl:snRNA U6 U6 spliceosomal RNA
GUGGUCACUUCGGCAGCACAUAUACUCAAAUUGGAACGAUACAGAGAAGAUUAGUAUGGCCUCUGUGCAAAGAUGACAUGCAAAUUCAUGAAGCGUUCCAUAUUUUA